GUGGGGAAUUUUGGACAAUGGGCGCAAGCCUGAUCCAGCAAUGCCGCGUGCAGGAAGAAGGCCUUCGGGUUGUAAACUGCUUUUGUACGGAACGAAACGGUCCGGGUUAAUACCCUGGGCUAAUGACGGUACCGUAAGAAUAAGCACCGGCUAACUACGUGCCAGCAGCCGCGGUAAUACGUAGGGUGCAAGCGUUAAUCGGAAUUACUGGGCGUAAAGCGUGCGCAGGCGGCUGUGUAAGACAGGCGUGAAAUCCCCGGGCUCAACCUGGGGAUUGCGCUUGUGACUGCAAGGCUGGAGUGCGGCAGAGGGGGAUGGAAUUCCGCGUGUAGCAGUGAAAUGCGUAGAUAUGCGGAGGAACACCGAUGGCGAAGGCAAUCCCCUGGGCCUGCACUGACGCUCAUGCACGAAAGCGUGGGGAGCAAACAGGAUUAGAUACCCGGGUAGUCC
rnacentral:rRNA from 1 species